rnacentral:rRNA from 1 species
UACGGAGGAGGCAAGCGUUAUCCGGAAUUAUUGGGCGUAAAGCGUCCGCAGGUGGCUAUUCAAGUCUGCGGUCAAAGACUGGGGCUUAACCCUGGAAAGGCCGUGGAAACUGAAGAGCUAGAGUGCAGUAGGGGUAGAGGGAAUUCCCGGUGUAGCGGUGAAAUGCGUAGAGCUCGGGAAGAACAUCGGUGGCGAAAGCGCUCUGCUGGACCUGCACUGACACUGAGGGACGAAAGCUAGGGGAGCGAAAGGG